GCAUGGAUAGCCGAAUGGUUCCUGGUGCAGCUGCUACUGAAAUUGAAUUAGCUAAGAGAGUGAAAGAGUAUUCAUUUAAAGAAACAGGGUCAGUACGUCAAAGCUGUCUUUCUACAUUUAUGCUUCGUACUUUCUAGAAAUUUCAUGAUCUUCCUAUGCAUGCAGGUAUAUUGAGAUGAUUUCUUUGGAUCAAUUCUUGACAACAUUUGUAGUUGAGGCCUUUAGAAUGGAAGAAUGUAUUUCACUAAUUUUUGUAUACAUUUCUUGUUUUGUAUUUAGUGAUAAAGGAAUCUGAAUUGGGCAUAAAUUAUGUUGUAAUAUGAUUUCUUAAGCCUAGACUAGUAGACUAAAUAUUGUAAUUACAUUUUGAGUAAUUAAUA